rnacentral:rRNA from 1 species
UGAGGAAUAUUGGUCAAUGGGCGUAAGCCUGAACCAGCCAAGUCGCGUGAGGGAAGACGGUCCUACGGAUUGUAAACCUCUUUUGCCGGGGAGCAACGGGUCCUUGCGAGGGCCUUAUGAGAGUACCCGGAAGAAAAAAGCAUCGGCUAACUCCGUGCC